UACGUAGGGUGCAAGCGUUGUCCGGAAUUAUUGGGCGUAAAGAGCUCGUAGGCGGUUUGUCGCGUCGGCUGUGAAAACCUAGGGCUCAACUCUGGGCUUGCAGCCGAUACGGGCAAACUAGAAUUCGGUAGGGGAGACUGGAAUUCCUGGUGUAGCGGUGAAAUGCGCAGAUAUCAGGAGGAACACCUGUGGUGUCGACAGCUUACUGGACCACUUCUGACGCUGAGACACGAGAGCGUGGGUAGCAAACAGG
rnacentral:rRNA from 1 species